AUCAUAACUGGUUCGUGAGUCCAGGGGGUGCAGCGGGUGAUGCUGUUUAAAGUACACUGGUCUGGAUACUAGGUAGCUUCAAGACUGCGUCAGGCGUUGGUUACCGCGGUGAUCGCUGUUUCGGCUCUUCUAGGGACGAAUGGGGUCGCUGUUGCGGGAUUCCAAGCGGUGCUGUGUGCCAGCGUGGUUCUGUUCUCCGGUGGAGGAUGAGCGAGCGGGGGAAGUCCCAGGGUCGGUAGCAGUUCAUUUGCCUCCUGUAAGUCCUGGAUGGUAGAGGUCGCAUUCCCGUGGUGGAUUAACAGUGUGCGCGAACCUCUCCAGUGGUAG